rnacentral:rRNA from 1 species
GACGAACGCUGGCGGCGGGCUUAACACAUGCAAGUCGAACGGAAAGGCCGUGGUUGUGUGGGGUGCCCGAUUGGGGAACGGGUGAGUAAGACGUGAGCAACCUGACCUUGUCUUUGGGAUAAGUUCAGGUAAGUGGGGCUAAGACCGGAUAGGAGCUCCGCCUUCAUGGUGGGGGUUGGAAAGUUGCGGCGGUUGGGGAUGGACUCGCGGGUUAUGGGCUUGUUGGUGGGGUGGGGGGUUACCAAGGCCGUGGCGGGUAGCCGGCCCGGGUGGGUGGCCGGGCACCAUGGGCCUGAGAGACGGCGCAGAGUCCUACGGGGGGCAAGAGUGGGGAGUAUUGCACAAUGGGGGGGAGCCUGAUGCAGCAACGCCGCGUGCGGGAUGACGGCCUUCGGGUUGUAAACCGCUGUCGCGUGUGACGAAGCGUGAGUGACGGUACUGGGUGAAGAAGCACCGGCUAACUACGUG